rnacentral:rRNA from 1 species
UACGAAGGGGGCUAGCGUUGCUCGGAAUCACUGGGCGUAAAGCGCACGUAGGCGGACUCUUAAGUCGGUGGUGAAAUCCUGGAGCUCAACUCCAGAACUGCCCUCGAUACUGAGAGUCUUGAGUCCGGGAGAGGUGAGUGGAACUGCGAGUGUAGAGGUGAAAUUCGUAGAUAUUCGCAAGAACACCAGUGGCGAAGGCGCUACCUGGACCGGAACUGACGCUGAUGCGCGAAAGCGUGGGUAGCAAACAGG